GACGUUCUGAGAUGAGAAGCCAGGCCGUCAUCUGCUGCUACAAAAACCGACUGCGUGUUUUGUAAUUCUAUAUUCUUCUCAGGUCAAGCAAUGAAGACACUGCAGUUUAUUGUUGUCAUAUGCUUGCUAGCAAGCGUAUUGCACACAAGUUCUGGACUAAGGUCGAUAUGGCAACACAAAACUUGCCUUAAAUUUUGCCACCCAAGCCAGCCAAAUUGCAAGAGUGGUUGCACCUGCUUUUCGUUCUUUUUCUCCGAUUACAUUGGUGCCUGUCUCAACGCAAGUAUUUCUCGACCAUGGAUGUUCCGCGCAAUAAGAGGUACUCAUGCUGAGUAAACGUACACCAUUCGUUGGCAAAGUUUUGUUCCAAAUAAAAAUCGCUGCAUUGUAACGUGUC